GAGGAAUAUUGGUCAAUGGACGGAAGUCUGAACCAGCCAAGUAGCGUGCAGGAUGACGGCCCUAUGGGUUGUAAACUGCUUUUGUAUGGGGAUAAAGUUAGGGACGUGUCCCUAUUUGCAGGUACCAUACGAAUAAGGACCGGCUAAUUCCGUGCCAGCAGCCGCGGUAAUACGGAAGGUCCAGGCGUUAUCCGGAUUUAUUGGGUUUAAAGGGAGCGUAGGCUGGAGAUUAAGUGUGUUGUGAAAUGUAGACGCUCAACGUCUGACUUGCAGCGCAUACUGGUUUCCUUGAGUACGCACAACGUUGGCGGAAUUCGUCGUGUAGCGGUGAAAUGCUUAGAUAUGACGAAGAACUCCGAUUGCGAAGGCAGCUGACGGGAGCGCAACUGACGCUUAAGCUCGAAGGUGCGGGUAUCGAACAGGAUUAGAUACCCUGGUAGUCCGCACAGUAAACGAUGGAUGCCCGCUGUUGGUACCUGGUAUCAGCGGCUAAGCGAAAGCAUUAAGCAUCCCACCUGGGGAGUACGCCGGCAACGGUG
rnacentral:rRNA from 1 species